CCUACGGGAGGCAGCAGUGGGGAAUAUUGGGCAAUGGGCGCAAGCCUGACCCAGCAACGCCGCGUGAAGGAAGAAGGCUUUCGGGUUGUACACUUCUUUUCUCAGGGACGAAGCAAGUGACGGUACCUGAGGAAUAAGCCACGGCUAACUACGUGCCAGCAGCCGCGGUAAUACGUAGGUGGCAAGCGUUAUCCGGAUUUACUGGGUGUAAAGGGCGUGUAGGCGGGACUGCAAGUUAGAUGUGAAAAUCACGGGCUCAACCUGUUGCCUUGAUUUGAAACUGUAGUUCUUGAGUACUGGAGAGGCAGACGGAAUUCCUAGUGUAGCGGUGGAAUGCGUAGAUAUUAGGAGGGACACCAGGGGCGAAGGCGGUCUGCUGGACAGCAACUGACGCUGAGGCGCGAAAGCGUGGGGAGCAAACAGGAUUAGAUACCCGGGUAGUC
rnacentral:rRNA from 1 species